GAAAGGACAAAACUCGUCCAGCAGAACAAUAUGUGAAUUUUGUCCAAUUUGAGUCAGAAAAUGACCUUCGUGAAACUGCUUUGGCUCCACUGUCACUUAGCGAGGCUUUAGUGAUCAGACGGCCUGAUUUCAUCCAGCGCUCGCAAGCCAGAGUUCGAGCCCUGGAGAGGAGGUCGCAGGAGAGGCAGAGCUCCCACAGCUCACCGCAGACACCUGAGAGCGGAGAAAGCCUUGUGAAAUCCAGAAGCAUCAUGGGAAAGAGUCUACAGCUGUGGUCCAGGAGGAGUUAUAACCAGCUCCCUGAAGUGAAGAAGAGGAGAGAGGAAGAAAAGAGGAAAAAAGAAGAAGAGAAAAGAAAACGGACCAACAGGCUGCGGGCAGAGCUCUUUAAAAAGAAACUUCUGGAGAAGAUUUUGCAGAGAGGAGGAAAUCACUGACACUGCCUUGGACCCGUGUUUCUUCUCACUCCGCAGUUCUCAUGCCGUCCCUUGAAAAAUAUGACAUGACAUUAGUUAGAAAUAUUAUGGAAUAGUUCCUUUCAGAAUGAAUGUGCCUUAAACAUGGACUGCAGCCUUAUUUCUGUGGCUCUGGAUUACAUCUUCUCUCUCUAUACAUACACUACCGGUCAAAUGUUUGGAAUAAUUUUUUAAUGUUAAGUCUCUUAUGUUCCGC
rnacentral:lncRNA from 1 species